rnacentral:lncRNA from 1 species
AGGUUUCGAAAGAAGCAGGUUACAGCUGGGAUGAUGUAUCCGAGGAAGCAGGUUGUUGGUCAGAAAUGGAGACCAGUUGAUCUUAAUGUCUGAGCUGAGCUGUUGAAGGAGAUGCACUGCCUCUGCAACUCUAAAUUUCACCACAAAUUUUAAUGAGUAAUUUAAUCUCAAAUAUGAGCUAUCUUAAGCAAAUGGCAUAUACAAACUUGUUAAUAAACAUUACUACUAUCUCGAUAAGGUACAAUUUGGUGGAUAUAUAUUUCUCAAGACAUAAUUAAAUUCUUCCGAUUCCGAUUUCCAUGCAACGUCCGAGCAUGCAAUUUUAUGAAUCAAGACAUUAUGGAAUGAAUAAGCAUGCAAUUUUAUGAAUCAAGACAUUAUGGAAUAAAAAUAAAAUUGUUGGUGUGGAGAAAGAAAUUGGAUAAAUUAACCACCAAGAAACGUUGUAACAGACUCUCCUACUAUCACUCCUCCAAAAUCAAUUGUCUAACUACUUUGACAUGUCCAUGACCGUCUAUCAUGAUUAAGAAUUAAUAAAUACUAGAAAUACUUUUUUUCUUGAAAUCAAUUAAUCUGGCAAUUAAACGUGAAAAUAACAAGGUGACGCCAGGGAUAAUAAACGGUGCAUUCAUUAUUCUGAUUGCGGUUUUAAAAUUUUAUACAGUGUUAAUACGCAUUUAAACAAAAACAGUAAAUAAUCAAUAUUCAAACACAAAUGGGAAUAUGGGAUUAACCAAGAAUGCAUACUCAUUGUAUAUGAAUAAUGAAAAGUUAGGAUCAGGAUACUUACACUAAGAAAAAAAUACAACAUUUUUUUCUUCAAGUAAAGAGCCUAUUUAACCUAACAUAUAUCCUAGAAUACAAGCAAGUAACUAAAAAACACAAGGCAUGAAGAGGUUGCCUUAAAUUAAACUAAACAACAUAGAAGUCAAGAUCAGCCUAAACUAAAACAAUCAAGAUUAGCCUAAACUAAAACAAUUAGAACUAGCUAGGCAGCGGGCGUGAGUUAAUUUCGUCCUUCAAUGAUCCUUUUCCAGCAAAUGUGGAUUGGAUUUGAGUAAUGGAACUUGUUCCGCCAACUUGUUUGGAAGCAAGCAAUGUUGAGUGGAGUAUAGCUUUUCUUGAAUCAAAGGAGAUUCUAGAAGAUUCUGGAGCUCUUCUUCACCUUCGAAUGGUACCUCCUGCAAUUGUUGAUGAUGAUUAAUGUAUAAUUAAUUCAAUGAAAAAAUGAUUAGUUAGUUAGUUAAGUACCUGAUGAUGCGAACCAAGGAAUUCAAGGAGAGCAACUUGCGCCUGCAAGAACUUGAUGUAGUUGUAGGCGGAUUGCAGCAUCUCCGCCGUGUUCAUCCUCUGCCCGCCGGGAACCAGCUUCCCGAGCUCCUGCGUCUUCACUGUGAUCUUCCGCCGCCUCUGCCUGGCUGCGAUGCUCUGCGCGGAUAAGCUCGUUUCGUUCUUGGCGCUCUCACAGAUCCUGGUGCUGAAAUCCGCGGCAGGGAACUGAGGCAACGGCGGCGGCAAGACAAAUUCCGGCAGCGAGUAAUCGUAGAGCUUGUGGCGUUUGGGGAAGUGGAACAAGGGUUGUUGGUGCGGCAAAAGAAAGGGUGGGGGUUGGGUUGCAGUUGUGAGAUUAUCCAAUUCCAAGGGAAGUCCAUUAGCAUGAUAAGUGAGGUCGUCGCAGAGAAGAGAGUUGCAGAAGGAGUCGGCGAAAUAGUUGUCCGGGUUCAACAGAGAUUGGAGCUCUGGAUCAUCGCCGGAGUAGUCUGGCUGCUGAAAAGAGGUCCAGUUGGAGUAGUAGCUCAACGCCAUUGAUGAAGAAGGGAUUACCUGUGAAAUCGAUAUCUCAAGUGUUAGAACAUGAUGAUGACAGAGGUUAACCUAGUACGUAUGAAGCAUUGAAGGACGGAGAAUUGAAGUUAAAGAAGAUGAUGAAAGAGACAAAGCGUACCUGAAGAAAGAUUGUGUCUUUUAACUACUAGCCUUGAAUGUGAUGAACGUGGGAUCUUGAAUGGGAUUUAUAAUGGUAAUUAACCACCCUCCUCAUAAUUAGGGACAUAUAAUGGGCUAUUAGGGCUACUAAAUUAACCGUUAUUUUACAUCUCCUUGUUGCUUAUUUUUAUGUUUUUCUUAAAGCCCGCAAUUUUGGGAGAUCUGCACGUAAACAAUUCGUUGCUUAACAUGUACGCGAAGCUUGUGUGUAUGGAGUGUGCAGAGACAUUGUUCAACAGUAUGUCAAAAGUCAGUGUUGUUUCAUGGAAUAUUAUGAUCGCGGGAUAUGCCAAGCAAUAUGAUUUGCAGAGGGCUAUCGAGUGCAUGGAGAAAAUGCAGAGUUGUGGGUUUGAACCUGAUGAGGUAACUUGUGUCAAUAUGCUUGCUGCCUGCUUGAGAAGUGGUGAUGUUGAAACUGGGCUAAACAUAUUCAAUAAUAUGUCUGCGCCAAGUUUGGCCUCGUGGAACGCAAUUCUAUCAGGCUAUUCUGAGAACGAAAACCACAGGGAGGCGGUGAUGCUUUUCAGAGAGAUGCAGUUGAGAAGAGUGAGGCCUGAUCGAACUACUUUUGCUAUAGUUCUCAGUUCUUGUGCUGCCAUGGGGCUCUUAGAGGGUGGAAAGCAGAUUCAUGCUGCCUUGUGGAAAGCUGAGCUUUCGACGGACUUGUAUGUUACCAGUGGACUCAUUGCUGUUUACUCAAAAUGUAGUAAAAUAGCAGUCAUCUCUCUCACAAGGGAGACAGAUUCACGGUCUAAUAGUGAAAGAAGGACAUGCUGAUAAUGUUUAUGUCGGAACUGCUCUGGUUGAUAUGUACAGCAAGUGUGGCGACGUGGAUGGUUCUUUGAUAUGAUGCCACGUAAAGAUUUAGUUACCUGGAAUGAGAUGAUACAUGGUUCUGUUGAUUUGUUUGGGAACAUGAUGGAAGCUAGUAUUGAACCUGAUCACAUAACCGCCUGCAGUCAUUCUGGAUUAGUAGAUACUGGUUUGAAGCUGUUCAAAUCAAUGCAACAAGAAUAUGAUGUAAAGCCACUUAGUGAUCACUAUACUUGCAUAGUCGACACCCUGGGGCGUGCUGGCCAGUUCAAUGAAGUUGAAGAAAUCAUAGAAAAAAUGCCGUGCAGAGAUGAUCCUAUUGUUUGGGAGGUUUUGCUCAGCUCUUGUAGGGUUCAUGCCAAUAUAAACUUGGCAAGAAGGGCUGCGGACGAGCUUUUCCGGUUGGACACCGGUAAUUCUGCCCCUUACUCCCUCCUAGCCAAUAUGUAUUCGUCAUUAGAUAGAUGGGAUGAUGUUAAAGAUGUUCGAGAUAUAAUGGGAAGGCAGCAGGUUACAGCUGGGUUUGAAACAUGUGAUAUAUCCGAGGAAGCAGGUUGUGGUCAGAAAUGGAGACCUGACCACAGCUGAGCUGUUGAAGGAGAUGCACUGCCUCUAAAUUUCACCUGCAGCUUGCAAGAUCAACACUGAAUGCAAAAGGUAUUAAAAUCAUUUAUUCUUCAUCCAUUUUCAGCUCCUGCUAAAUUCUUGAUUUUUGGUUUUGCAGGCUCCACUGAGAUCAGAUUACAGUUUUCUUCUAUAUAGUUGGUAAGUUUAGUGGUAACUACACAAGUUGGCCAAACUGAAAUUACGACACUAAAAUUUUGGAAAUUCAAG